UGAUGUGAAGCACAGUUUAAUAUUUGCUUUCAAUGUAAUAUAUUUAAUGUACUCUGGCUGGGCACGAUCCAUGCUCGAAAUCGGCUCUGGAUUCACAUGUACAUAUGUAUUCACAUGCAUUCACUUGUAUUUGCCUUAGUUGACGGAGGAAUUUCAAUUAAUUCAAUUGAAAGUUGGAUGGCGCAAGUACCUUCAACCCAGCCAAGCCUCACUGUUCUAAUGCGGCUUAUUCUCUGCUCGUAUAAAUCACAUAAAAAACUGCGUAUAUGUGUAUGUACCUAGGCACAGGGGAGUCCUUGACAGAUGAGUUGUCUAAGUGGCGCAGCCAUUGAAACCAUCGAACCUGAACAACGGAUAUUCUGACCUAAUUGCAAGUGUGAUUAAGCAAAUAUAUUCUAUGUAAUUAUGUUAA
rnacentral:sRNA from 1 species